rnacentral:rRNA from 1 species
UUGCCCAAUCCUGAUACAGGGAGGCAGUGACAAGAAAUAACAACUCUCGACUUUGUUGAGAAGUGUAAUGAGGAUAAUUUACAAACCUUACCGAAAAGCAAUUGGAGGGGCAAGGUUUUUGGUGCCCAGCAGCCGCGGUAAUUUCCAACUCCAAUAGCGUAUAUUAAAAGUUGUUGCAGGUUAAAAAAGCUCGUAGUUGAAAUUCUGGUUGUAUUGGGGCUUCUGCACUUGAUGCGUAAGUACCAGCAGCCAUCCGCUUUGCAAAUACAUGUCCGUCCUUAACCGGUCGGCUGUAUGAGUAAGCAUUUUACCUUGAGAAAAACAGAGUGUUCCAGGCAGGUUUGUCCGGAAUGCAUUAGCAUGGAAUAAUAGAAUAUGACUAAAGUCGAUUUAUUGGUGUAAAGGCUUUGGUAAUGAUUAAUAGGAACAGUCGGGGGCAUUAGUACUUGUCAGCUAGAGGUGAAAUUCCAGGAUUUGACAAAGACUAACUGAUGCGAAAGCGUUUGCCAAGGAUGUUUUCAUUAAUCAAGAACGAAAGUUAGGGGAUCAAAGACGAUCAGAUACCGUCCUAGUCUUAACUAUAAACCAUACCGACUCGGAUUCAGAUGAAUAUUAAAGUUCAUUUGGGACCGUAGGAGAAAUCAAAGUCUUUGGGUUCUGGGGGGAGUAUGGUCGCAAGGCUGAAACUUAAAGGAAUUGACGGUUUUGCACCACCAUGGAGUGGAGCCUGCGGCUUAAUUUGACUCAACACUGGGAAACUCAUCAGGGCAAGAAGAUUUUAGGAUUGACAGAUUGAGAGUUCUUUCUUGAUUGGUCUAGUGGUGGUGCAUGGCCGUUCUUAGUUGGUGGAGUGAUUUGUCUGGUUAAUUCCGUUAACGAACGAGACCUUAACCUGCUAACUAGUACUGUGUUCUCAAACGCAGCUACUUCUUAGAGGGACUAUGUGAUGUAAUCACAUGGAAAGUUUUGAGGCAAUAACAGGUCUGUGAUGCCCCUUAGAUGUCCUGAGCUGCACGCGCGCUACAAUGAUGCAUUCAACAAGCAUUUUCCUGAUCCGAAAGGAUUUGGGUAAUCUAUUUUGAGGGUGCAUCGUGCUAGGGAUAGAUCUUUGUAA